rnacentral:rRNA from 1 species
AUUGAACGCUGGCGGUAGGCUUAACACAUGCAAGUCGUGCGAGAAAGUAUCUUCGGAUAUGAGUAGAGCGGCGGACGGGUGAGUAACGCGUAGGAAUCUACCUAGUAGAAGGGGAUAGCCCGGGGAAACUCGGAUUAAUACCGUAUACCUCCUUCGGGAGAAAGAAGGCCUCUCUUUGAAGCUUUCGCUAUUAGAUGAGCCUGCGUAAGAUUAGCUUGUUGGUGAGGUAAAGGCUCACCAAGGCGACGAUCUUUAGCUGGUCUGAGAGGACGAUCAGCCACAUUGGGACUGAGGCACGGCCCAGACUCCUACGGGAGGCAGCAGUGGGGAAUAUUGGACAAUGGGCGCAAGCCUGAUCCAGCCAUACCGCGUGUGUGAAGAAGGCCUUCGGGUUGUAAAGCACUUUAAGCAGGGAGAAAAAGUUAUAAGUUAAUACCUUAUAACCCUGAUGUUACCUGCAGAAUAAGCACCGGCUAAUUCCGUGCCAGCAGCCGCGGUAAUACGGAAGGUGCAAGCGUUAAUCGGAAUUACUGGGCGUAAAGCGCGCGUAGGUGGUUUGUUAAGUUGGAUGUGAAAGCCCUGGGCUCAACCUAGGAACUGCAUCCAAAACUAACUCACUAGAGUACGAUAGAGGGAGGUAGAAUUCAUAGUGUAGCGGUGGAAUGCGUAGAUAUUAUGAAGAAUACCAGUGGCGAAGGCGGCCUCCUGGAUCUGUACUGACACUGAGGUGCGAAAGCGUGGGUAGCGAACAGGAUUAGAUACCCUGGUAGUCCACGCCGUAAACGAUGACAACUAGCUGUUGGGAGACUAUGUCUUUCAGUGGCGCAGCUAACGCUUUAAGUUGUCCGCCUGGGGAGUACGGCCGCAAGGCUAAAACUCAAAUGAAUUGACGGGGACCCGCACAAGCGGUGGAGCAUGUGGUUUAAUUCGAUGCAACGCGAAAAACCUUACCUACUCUUGACAUACUUGGAGGCUCUUGUAAUGAGAGUGUGCCUUUUGGAACCAAGAUACAGGUGCUGCAUGGCUGUCGUCAGCUCGUGUCGUGAGAUGUUCCGUUAAGUCGGAUAACGAGCGCAACCCUUACCCUUAUUUGCCAGCGAUUCGGUCGGGAACUAUAAGGGGACUGCCGGUGAUAAACCGGAGGAAGGUGAGGACGACGUCAAGUCAUCAUGGCCCUUACGAGUAGGGCUACACACGUGCUACAAUGGGAGAUACAGACGGACGCUAAGCCGCGAGGUGGUGCUAAUCCUAAAAAGUCUUUCGUAGUCCGGAUUGGAGUCUGCAACUCGACUCCAUGAAGUCGGAAUCGCUAGUAAUCGCGGAUCAGCAUGCCGCGGUGAAUACGUUCUCGGGUCU